rnacentral:rRNA from 1 species
CAGGCCUAACACAUGCAAGUCGAGCGCGCCCUUUCGGGGGUGAGCGGCGGACGGGUGAGUAACGCGUGGGAACGUGCCCUUUGGUACGGAAUAGUCUCGGGAAACUGGGGGUAAUACCGUAUACGCUCUUCGGAGGAAAGAUUUAUCGCCAAAGGAUCGGCCCGCGUUGGAUUAGGUAGUUGGUGGGGUAACGGCCUACCAAGCCGACGAUCCAUAGCUGGUUUGAGAGGAUGAUCAGCCACACUGGGACUGAGACACGGCCCAUACUCCUACGGGAGGCAGCAGUGGGGAAUCUUAGACAAUGGGGGCAACCCUGAUCUAGCCAUGCCGCGUGAGUGAUGAAGGCCUUACGGUUGUAAAGCUCUUUCAGUGGGGAAGAUAAUGACGGUACCCACAUAAGAAGCCCCGGCUAACUCCCUGCCAGCAGCCGCGGCUAAUACAGAGGGGG